AUUGUCAAGUCAUGUGUCAGCAUGAUAUGUGCUCUUGUUUCCAUUUGUAGUCAGAGCUGUAUUGAUCGACUGCGUAUCAGCAAGCUUUGGUGAAUGCAGGACAAAAAAACUAUUCUAAACUCUUUUCUAACAAUGAAUUAUUUCUCUCUAUAAUAGAUCUGCAGAAAAGUGCAGCUAACAAUCACUUAACUUUCAAACACUUCACUUUGCACCACACAUUUGCUUGACAUUACAUCACAAAAGCGUUUAGAUUCUCUUAUUACCUGAAACGCUUCAGGAGUGAUUCAUUAGACCCCUAUUCAACAAACAAACACACUCAAAGUUGUUUUCUUCUCCUCUUGAGAACAGACCUGACUAAGAUUGGUGUUUUACUUCUUACCAAUCAGCAUCAUGAUGUUGCAAGAAAUGUUUUUUUUUCGGGCUAAUACCAGGGAGUGAAAUGUUGUUUUAAACAGGCAGCGUGAGGACAGCCUGCUGCAGAGUUUGGGUCAUCAGUGUGGUCAUUAAGCAGACAGUAAUGGGCCAUGAGAGAGGCUGUUCUGCUCUGGCGCCGGGCCGGCCGACCUGUGGAUCCCACCAACAUUAUCAGUCGACCGAUCGCACCAUUAUGCCCUUGAUCGAGGGGAACUCUGGAUGUUUUCUGGAGGAGAGCGAAAGGGUUCACGGUGUGCUUCAAACCUGCAGACUGAACAGCAAGCAGGAAAGCAAAAGGUCACGGACAUCUACAUGCGGCAUGUAAAGUUGAACGUGAGAGAUCACUGUGGAAGAAAAGACAAAGAUUGCGUGUGAAAAGAUGACAGAAAUGCACUCGGCACUACAAACUCAAAUGACAGUAAAUGUCAGCUAAGCCACCCACUGCUGCCACUCCUUCCAUAUUUAUUUCAUUUCCUGCCAGACACUUGUCGGGUGUCUUCUUGUGAAAAGGAAAUGUGUUUCUUUUGCCUUGAUUCCCUAAUGAGGAAUACAAAAAAAAAGAAAAGUCAUAUCUACAAGAUUGUUUCAGGGAAAGAAAUAAACCAGCAAACUGA